rnacentral:lncRNA from 1 species
UAGAGCCAUCAGGCCUUGCUUUAUCGCGCACAUAUUUUUUUAAGGUACACAAGAAUCUAUAAACAAAAAUAAAUUUAAAUUUUAGAAAUAAAUUUAUAUCUUAUAAUUGAUAUGACAAUGUAUGUAUAAUUUCUUUAUCUUUCAAUAGGAUACAUCCAUUGAUAAUGUACCGGUCCGACAAAAAAAGCUUUCUUUGGAAGAUGAACAGCCAGAUUACCAUAACAUCAAAAAAUAAUAGUGAAAAAUUUUUUUCUAACUUAUAAAGAAUGAGUACAAUAUCCUUCUCUGAUCUCUCAAGUAAGUUAACCUUCAAUUUUCGACAAUACAGU